GGGGAAUAUUGCACAAUGGGCGAAAGCCUGAUGCAGCGACGCCGCGUGAAGGAUGAAGUAUUUCGGUAUGUAAACUUCUAUCAGCAGGGAAGAAAAUGACGGUACCUGACUAAGAAGCCCCGGCUAACUACGUGCCAGCAGCCGCGGUAAUACGUAGGGGGCAAGCGUUAUCCGGAUUUACUGGGUGUAAAGGGAGCGUAGACGGCUGUGCAAGUCUGAAGUGAAAGGCAUGGGCUCAACCUGUGGACUGCUUUGGAAACUGUGCAGCUAGAGUGUCGGAGAGGUAAGUGGAAUUCCUAGUGUAGCGGUGAAAUGCGUAGAUAUUAGGAGGAACACCAGUGGCGAAGGCGGCCUACUGGGCACCAACUGACGCUGAGGCUCGAAAGUGUGGGUAGCAAACAGGAUUAGAUACCCUGGUAGUCCACACCGUAAACGAUGAUUACUAGGUGUUGGAGGAUUGACCCCUUCAGUGCCGCAGUUAACACAAUAAGUAAUCCACCUGGGGAGUACGACCGCAAGGUUGAAACUCAAAGGAAUUGACGGGGGCCCGCACAAGCAGUGGAGUAUGUGGUUUAAUUCGACGCAACGCGAAGAACCUUACCAAGUCUUGACAUCCCUUGACAGGCAUAGAAAUAUGUUUUCUCUUCGGAGCAAGGAGACAGGUGGUGCAUGGUUGUCGUCAGCUCGUGUCGUGAGAUGUUGGGUUAAGUCCCGCAACGAGCGCAACCCUUAUGGUCAGUUACUACGCAAGAGGACUCUGGCCAGACUGCCGUUGACAAAACGGAGGAAGGUGGGGAUGACGUCAAAUCAUCAUGCCCUUUAUGACUUGGGCUACACACGUACUACAAUGGCGUUAAACAAAGAGAAGCAAGACCGCGAGGUGGAGCAAAACUCAGAAACAACGUCCCAGUUCGGACUGCAGGCUGCAACUCGCCUGCACGAAGUCGGAAUUGCUAGUAAUCGUGGAUCAGCAUGCCACGGUGAAUACGUUCCCG
rnacentral:rRNA from 1 species